AUUGACCGCUGGCGGCAGGCCUAACACAUGCAAGUCGAACGGAGUGGCGGACGGGUGAGUAAUGUCUGGGCAACUGCCUGAUGGAGGGGGAUAACUACUGGAAACGGUAGCUAAUACCGCAUACUAUCAGAUUAGCCUCGGUCGGAUUAGCUAGUUGGUGGGGUAAAGGCCUACCAAGGCGACGAUCCGUAACUGGUCUGAGAGGAUGAUCAGUCACACUGGAACUGAGACACGGUCCAGACUCCUACGGGAGGCAGCAGUGGGGAAUAGUGGACAAUGGGCGAAAGCCUGAUCCAGCAAUGCCGCGUGUGUGAAGAAGGUCUUCGGAUUGUAAAGCACUUUAAGUUGGGAGGCGUUACCAACAGAAUAAGCACCGGCUAACUUCGUGCCAGCAGCCGCGGUAAUUC
rnacentral:rRNA from 1 species